rnacentral:lncRNA from 1 species
GCUUGGCCAUGUCACAUGAUGGACAUGAUAUAAUGAAAUAGCAGGAAAACAGAGACGUAGUGUACCCUAAGCUGAUAAAAAAAAAUCUACGCACUCAUCUGCAAUAGCACCCGCGCAAUAGCCUCGGUGCAACUGGGGACCAAGUAGGGGACAGGGGCGGUCCAGAAUACGUCCCCAUCUGACGGGACAUGUCUGUUGAUUCGCGAUUGUACCUGCAGAUAUUACGCACUUUUUGAAGGCGAAGAUCCCUUUUAAGUACGUGUUUAUUCCAUCCAUCUACCUGGGAGGGGAAUCGGUGCGCAUCUCACGGCUUUAGGGAAUAUAAGGCUUUCCUCCAGCCAGUGAGCAAGGAUGAGAUUAUUGCUCCAAAGGCCCCUGAGAUCUAUCAGAAAGCAAAAGUCCUGGAUUCCAAAGAGAUCUGGAACAUUCUAAGGGACGAGUCGGAGUCCAAACUGGCUUGGACAGAGACAGCCAUUGACGUGCCCUCCGUGAUCAAGGUUUCCCUGAUACAACACACAGAACACAUCCUGUCACAAUGUCACACACCGUUACCAACCAUGACCUGUGUCAUCUUUAUAAGACAUUCAACCAAUGCAAACUCUGUUGUCUAGAAAAACAGUCAUAAACCAACAUGUAGAUUUCUAGAUACUUCCUUAGAUUAGAUUUGCACUCUUUCUU